UACGUAGGCAGCAAGCGUUGUUCGGAGUUACUGGGCGUAAAGAGUGUGUAGGCGGUGCUCUAAGUUCGGUGUGAAAUCUCCCGGCUUAACUGGGAGGGUGCGCCGGAAACUGGAGUGCUCGAGCGUGGGAGAGGAAAGCGGAAUUCCUGGUGUAGCGGUGAAAUGCGUAGAUAUCAGGAGGAACACCUGCGGUGUAGACGGCUUUCUGGACCAUUGCUGACGCUGAGACACGAAAGCGUGGGUAGCAAACAGG
rnacentral:rRNA from 1 species